UACGUAGGGCGCAAGCGUUAUCCGGAAUUAUUGGGCGUAAAGCGCGUGUAGGCGGCUCGAUAAGUCUGCUGUGAAAGUCCAGGGCUCAACCCUGGGAUGCCGGUGGAUACUGUCGAGCUCGAGUCCGGAAGAGGCGAGUGGAAUUCCUGGUGUAGCGGUGAAAUGCGCAGAUAUCAGGAGGAACACCGAUGGCGAAGGCAGCUCGCUGGGACGUGACUGACGCUGAGACGCGAAAGCGUGGGGAGCAAACAGG
rnacentral:rRNA from 1 species